UGCUGUGAUAAAAAUGCUUGCUGCAAC
rnacentral:sRNA from 1 species